GACCUCGUAGCUCAGCUGGUAGAGCGUGCNUACAAAACGGGGGCGGCAUCCUUCCGUGGGUUCGAAUCCCAUUGAGGCUA
rnacentral:tRNA from 1 species